AGCGAACGCUGGCGGCGUGCCUAACACAUGCAAGUCGAACGUGAAAGGGAGCAAUCCCAAGUAAAGUGGCGUACGGGUGAGUAACACGUAGGUAAUCUACCCCAGAAUCUGGAAUAACCGGCCGAAAGGCUGGCUAAUACUGGAUAGAGCGACGGAAUCCGUAAUUGGGUUUUUCGGGAAAGGGAGCCUGUAAAAAGGCCUUCGUUCUGGGAUGAGCCUGCGUCCCAUCAGCUAGUUGGUGAGGUAAAAGCUUACCAAGGCAAUGACGGGUAGCUGGUCUGAGAGGACGAUCAGCCACACUGGAACUGAAACACGGUCCAGACUCCUACGGGAGGCAGCAGUGGGGAAUCUUGCGCAAUGGACGAAAGUCUGACGCAGCAACGCCGCGUGAGUGCAGAAGGCCUUCGGGUUGUAAAGCUCUGUCGAGUGGGACGAAAAUGCUUGGAGUUCACAGCUCCAGGAACUGACGGUACCACUAAAGGAAGCACCGGCUAACUCCGUG
rnacentral:rRNA from 1 species